GACGGAGGAUGCGAGUGUUAUCCGGAAUCACUGGGCGUAAAGCGUCUGUAGGUGGUUUAACAAGUCUGCUGUUAAAGGUUGAAGCUUAACUUCAAAAAUGCAGUAGAAACUUUUAAACUUGAGUAUGGUAGGGGUAGAGGGAAUUUCCAGUGGAGCGGUGAAAUGCGUAGAUCUUGGAAAGACCACCAAUGGCGAAGGCACUCUACUGGGCCAUAACUGACACUAAGAGACGAAAGCUAGGGGAGCAAAUGGG
rnacentral:rRNA from 1 species